CGGGCGCUGGCAAAAGUAAAAGCGGAUCUCCGGGGUCCCUUGGCUCGUGUACACCCGCCCGCACCGAGACAGACACGCUCCUGGGGUGAGUUGGCUGGCAGCUGCCACGGGAGGAUUAGUUACCCAGCAGCCACACCAAACAGGGAGACUCAGUAGCGAAGCCAGCACAGAAGCCGCCCCAGCAAAGAGCGCAGGACGCGUUUCCUACACCAGGCUCCGGCAGCUCCAAGCGACCCCCGCAAUCAUCCUGCCGCCCAGCGCCCAGCCACCGAGAACGGCUCCCCACGCCGGGGCUCUGACCCGCAUCUUCUGUUUCUCCUGAAGAUUUCAUACAGAGCACACCCCAGCUAAUCCUCAUCUUGGGCAGCUUGCGUUUUGGAUUAGGUCAAAACCCACACCGGAGUCUUUCUAGACAGCCUGCUCUUCCCCUACAUUAACACAAGUGAGGAUCUUCAACUGUUGCUGGUAUGUUCUCAACUGCCCCGGUUCAAGUUGGGUUCUCAAGUGCAGACUCUUCACAGAAGAGUUAAAGGUCAGAAGGGAUAAUCAAAUCUGACCCUGUGUCUAUCAUAUGUCACUAAGUUUCACCAGAUAAUCUGAUAUGAACCCCAAAGACUUCUGGGACUGAAAUGCUUUGGUCUAACUGAAGACUGAACUGGCGUGCCAUGGACAGAGAACAGGAAAGACCAAGGCACUUGUGGAUCAGAGACUUGGUUUUCAGCAUUAUACUAUAGAAGAUGUUGGCUAGCACUUUUGGGAAAAAUGCAAGACAAAGGACAAUGAGAUGAACAAUGACAUCUAAUGUGGUGGUGGUGGUCUGUGCUCUAGUCUAAGUGACCUGCAAGUAGCACAUGAUCUGAAGAUUAUAGAUACCUUCACAGGUGUAUAUUGGUACAGAUAUAAAUGCCUGGUUCCAAUUCAAUACUUUCAGAAGGAACUCACAUGAAGAGUGAGUUUAUAUUACCUAUGAAGAGGUGCUGGUUACUCAGUGUGGGGGAAGUUCACCAAACCAGCUAGCAAUCAAUUGUGUCAAAGACAUGCCUAUUGUCAAAUCAAAGAGAGCAAGUUUUUCCUUUGGAUUACCAAAUUGUGUCCAGUCCUGCAAAUUGUUCCAUAUAGGCUGCUGUCUGCACAGAACUCCUUGUUAGAAUCAAGGCAUAAAUGCAGAAGUUCAUACACAGAGUGUAUAUACGUGAAUUAUCACGGGACAAAGAUAACAUUAGCUAACCAAAAAUAAAUGUAUUGAAUGUGGCUUAUCUGGAAUGUAAGUGAUCCUGCUAAUAAACUGUUGUAUAAUUUUUUUUUGAUCAAGACAGGUUCAUGAAUGUCAAUUACAGUUAGGACUCAGGACAGUUAAAU